rnacentral:rRNA from 1 species
GAUGAACGCUAGGGGCAGGCCUAAUACAUGCAAGUCGAACGAUAGUGAGAAGCUUGCUUCUCACGAAAGCGGCGCACGGGUGCGUAACGCGUAUGCAACCUACCUUAAUCAGGGGGAUAGCCCGAGGAAAUUCGGAUUAACACCGCAUAAAAUCACAGUAUAGCAUUAUACAAUGAUCAAAUAUUUAUAGGAUCAAGAUGGGCAUGCGUGACAUUAGUUAGUUGGCGGGGUAACGGCCCACCAAGACCACGAUGUCUAGGGGAUCUGAGAGGAUGACCCCCCACACUGGUACUGAGACACGGACCAGACUCCUACGGGAGGCAGCAGUAAGGAAUAUUGGUCAAUGGAGGCAACUCUGAACCAGCCAUGCCGCGUGCAGGAAGACUGCCCUCUGGGUCGUAAACUGCUUUUAUUCGGGAAUAAACCUAUCUACGUGUAGAUAGCUGAAUGUACCGAAGGAAUAAGGAUCGGCUAACUCCGUGCCAGCCGCCGCCGUAA